ensembl:lncRNA
CGGGAGGGCGCGGGCUCGGCUAGGCGCCGGCAGGCGGGCACCGGGGAUUGGAAGGCACCGAGGCUCCUUCCUCUCCGCGCCCCUUUGUUUUGCUUUGUGGUUCUGAGCAGCUGAACCUCCUGGGAGGUGGGGUCAGAGGCCUCCGGGUCAGCUCUGCAGGGAAGGCCAGGGUGACAGGUCCCAGCCCUGUGGUGUCCUCAGCCUGUGGGCUUCCGUAGGUGCCCGGACCUGCGACCAGACCCUCACCCCCUUUUGUCCUCCCAUCCCCCUCGUAAUGUAAUAAAAAUCUGGGGUUGUAUGAGCGGUUGUAUUUCCAUUGCACCUUCUGAGGGCACUUGUUUUGGCCUGAGAUUUAGGAUCAGCUGUCUGCUUUCACCUUCUCCCCACACCUCACCUGGGCUGGAGCUGGGGUGGGGGCUCUGUCAACUCUGACCCCACCCAUGGGAGAACUGAGGAGGUGCACAGCUCAGGGACUACCCCUUUUCCAUUCCCUGUGGGACUUGGUGGGGGUUACCCCUGCCUUCUCCAGACACCCCUUUACCCCACACCUGGAAAUAACUGUGUCUCCCUACCCAGCCAGUACUAUGGACUGGCCACUGCUAAGUGCCUUGUGCCCUGGCUACCAUCUGAGGAUAAAGUAGGGGACAGUUAUUAUUCCCAUUUUCCAGGCACGUUCAUCAAGGCCCGGAGAGGCUAAGGGGUUCCUUAAGUACACACAGCCCUGGGUUAGAUCAAGGCUCAGCUCAGGACCACCUAGAGUUUCUCCAGCCUAGCCCAGAACUGUGAGGCUCUCUGUCCCUCAUUGUGGCACUUUGUUUCUUUGACUUCAGUGGACCUAGGUCUUGAGUGUGUAUAAUACAUGGAAGGAGCUGCCAGAUGUUUUUCUCUGGUUGCCGGCUGAGGGCAGGAUCAUUUCUGCUGUGCCUCUGGCCCCCGAGAGGACGCUGUCCAAGUCCCCAGCCGGGGGCCCCGCGUAGACCUGGAGUGGAUGCCCCCUCCUUCCCUUCAUGAUUCGCUUGUAGCGCAGGUAACUGGGAAGGGGGUCCCGUCCCGUCCUGGGGCAGCCUCCUCUCCAUGCACUUCCUGGGCCCACCGUGGGCAUGGGGGAGAAGGCCUGGCCCCUGGCCCUGGGUCCUAAGGGCCUCCCUCCCCCAGCCCUCCCCUCCAGACGCUCGGCCGGCUGUGCCUUUUCUGGCUCCCUUCAGGCAGGUUGUCAAAGGAGGGUCUCAUUGGCCACAAAUCUGGUGACGCAGAGAGAAGCAGGCACCACUGGGGCUGCUGAGGAGCAGGGCGGUCACCUGUACGGCGUGUCCUGUCUGCGCCUUGUGGUGGGAGGGGAGUGUGGGAGCGGGCGUGUAACACGUCCUGGGUGGGUGUGUCUGAGCGGGGUCAGCUGCCCCGGCGCACAGGGGAGAAGCCCCACGUCCGCCUCCGGGCCCGCCUGAGACCGCCUUUCGCAGAGGUCGGGUGGUGAUGAGGAGGUCACUGCCAGGUGCAAUCAGAGCGCUUUCCGGUGAGGGCCCCCACAGAGCUGCGUGCCUGUGUGUGAGAGGUGCCCCACCUGGUCCGCACGCCCGACCUCUCGGACAUGACUGCCUCACCGUGCGUGCGUGGAUGGGGAGGUCUAGAAAGGAAGGACAUGGGUGGGUGGAGGCUUGGAAGGAUGGAGGGAGCGGGAUGUCACACAGGACAGCAGGUGCCUGGGGCAGUUGGGUGGUGGAUGUGGGGUCCUUGGGAGGUGGGUGGGGUGGGGCCAAUGGACAGACCCAGGCAGCACCAGUCACCUCGGGAGUGAAACGGGGCGAACAGUAUCCCUCCCCCGGAUCGAACUCGCUAACAUUUGUGACGCGCUCAGACUGUGCUGGCUGGGUCAGGCGUUCAACAAAUGUUAGCCCUCCUCAUCCUCAUCAUUCUGACGGCGCGCCGCCCGGCGGCCCCUGACAGCACCCACCCUGUGGACCCUCCCCUCGCUUCUGCCUCAGUUUGCAGGCUCCCUUCCUUGAGAGCCACACUGCCCAGGGCUGGGGGGGACCCGGGACCUCGCACCCUUGGCCCUUUCUGCUGCCCGUCACCCUGUCACCUGAAGGACAGACCCCUGCACGUGGGCUCUGGGCUAGGCCCUGCGUGCGAGGAGUGGGGUGGCCAGGUGGUGAAGAGCGUGGCUUCCAGGCCACGGCCACCUGCUCGCUGGGAGACGGAGAGAAGCCGCUUCAGUGCCUCCCGCUCCUCACCUGCAGAGCCGGGUGGCUGGCGCCUCCUGGGACUCUCUGAGGCCCCAUGUGGCCCCCUGAGAGCUGUGCCUGAGAGCUGUGUGCGGCAGGCUCUCCUGCUUUGGCUGCACUGUCCUCGUCAGGGGCUGGGAGCUCGGGUGAGGACAGGAGGGCAGGGAGCUGUGUCUGGUCAGGAGCCUCUGUCGGACUCAAGGGCACAGAAGCCCCACCACUUCCGGGAGCUCCCUGAAGGGUGGGCCGGGCACACUGCCACCAUCUAACCUUGUCUCCCUCGCCCUCUUCCUGGCCCCACCCGGCAGUGGCGAUGGAUGAUGAGGAUGGGAGAUGCUUACUAGACGUGAUCUGUGACCCUCAGGCCCUCAAUGACUUCUUGCAUGGGUCGGAGAAGCUGGACAGUGAUGAUCUCCUGGAUGCCCCCGGGGAGGCCCAAAGUGCCUUCUAUGAAGGUCCUGGGCUCCAUGUGCAAGAAGCUUCCGGCAACCACCUGAACCCGGAGCCCAGCCAGCCGGCCCCCAGCGUGGACCUGGACUUCCUGGAGGAUGACAUCCUGGGCUCGCCCACCACGGCGGGUGCCGGUGGAGGGCGCGGCGCCGACCAGCCCCUGCAGAGCAUCCUUCAGCAGAGCCUGCAGGAGGCCAACAUCACGGAGGCAGACACUUGAGGCUGAGGCCGAGGCUGGACCUGGGCCCCCUUCCAGCUGCCCACGCUGCAGCCCGCAGAUGGUGGGGCAGGCCCGACAGGCGCUGCGGGGACGGCUGCUGUGGCUGCAGGACCCCAGGCCCUCUUCCCCGGCAGCGCUGACCUGCUGGGGCUGCAGGCCCGCCCACAGUGCUGACCCACCAGGCCCCUGGUGCCACCCCAGGACGUGGUCAACAAGGCUCUGAGCGUCCAGCCCUUCCUGCAGCCUGUGGGCCUGGGCAACGUGACCCUGCAGCCCAAUCCCGGGCCUCAGGGCCUGCCCACCGGCAGCCCUGGGGGCGCUUCAGCCGCCACUCUUGGCCUGGCGCCCAUCCAGGUGGUGGGCCAGCCCGUCAUGGCACUCAACCCCCCACUUCGCAGCUCCUGGCCAAGCAGGUGCCUGUCAGUGGCUACCUGGCCUCAGCGGCCGGCCCCUCGGAGCCAGUGACGCUGGCAUCGGCUGGUGUGUCCCCCCAGGGGGCCGGCCCUGGUCAUCCAGAAGAGCCUUCCGGCGGCUGCUGGCCACCACACUCAGGCGGGAACUCAGUGUUUGCAGGGGCAGGGGCCGCCACGGUGGCGGCCAGCGGGGCAGCAUCAGGACCGCCGCUGGCAGUGGCCCCAGGCCUGGGCACGUCACCUCUGGUGCCAGCGCCCAAUGUGAUUCUGCACCGCACACCCACGCCCAUCCAGCCCAAGCCCGCGGCGUGCUGCCCCCAAGCUCUACCAGCUGACACCCAAGCCCUUCGGCCCUGCAGGUGCCACACUCACCAUCCAGGGUGGGCCGGGGG